rnacentral:rRNA from 1 species
AGUGAACGCUGGCGGUAGGCCUAACACAUGCAAGUCGAACGGCAGCACAGUAAGAGCUUGCUCUUACGGGUGGCGAGUGGCGGACGGGUGAGGAAUACAUCGGAAUCUACUUUUUCGUGGGGGAUAACGUAGGGAAACUUACGCUAAUACCGCAUACGACCUACGGGUGAAAGCAGGGGAUCUUCGGACCUUGCGCGAUUGAAUGAGCCGAUGUCGGAUUAGCUAGUUGGCGGGGUAAAGGCCCACCAAGGCGACGAUCCGUAGCUGGUCUGAGAGGAUGAUCAGCCACACUGGAACUGAGACACGGUCCAGACUCCUACGGGAGGCAGCAGUGGGGAAUAUUGGACCAUGGGCGCAAGCCUGAUCCAGCCAUACCGCGUGGGUGAAGAAGGCCUUCGGGUUGAAAAGCCCUUUUGUUGGGAAAGAAAAGCAGCAGGUUAAUACCCCGCUGUUCUGACGGUACCCAAAGAAUAAGCACCGGCUAACUUCGUG